GACGAACGCUGGCGGCGUGCUUAACACAUGCAAGUCGAACGAAGAGCGAUGGAAGCUUGCUUCUAUCAAUCUUAGUGGCGAACGGGUGAGUAACGCGUAAUCAACCUGCCCUUCAGAGGGGGACAACAGUUGGAAACGACUGCUAAUACCGCAUACGAUCUAAUCUCGGCAUCGAGGAUAGAUGAAAGGUGGCCUCUACAUGUAAGCUAUCACUGAAGGAGGGGAUUGCGUCUGAUUAGCUAGUUGGAGGGGUAACGGCCCACCAAGGCGAUGAUCAGUAGCCGGUCUGAGAGGAUGAACGGCCACAUUGGGACUGAGACACGGCCCAGACUCCUACGGGAGGCAGCAGUGGGGAAUCUUCCGCAAUGGACGAAAGUCUGACGGAGCAACGCCGCGUGAGCGAUGACGGCCUUCGGGUUGUAAAGCUCUGUUAAUCGGGACGAAGGGCCUUCUUGCGAAUAGUGAGAAGGAUUGACGGUACCGGAAUAGAAAGCCACGGCUAACUACGUG
rnacentral:rRNA from 1 species